rnacentral:lncRNA from 7 species
AAGAAAUCUUGUGAUUUGAAAGUCCAUCUGAGCUUAGGUAAUAAAGGGAAAGUGUAAUUGAAGCAUCUGGCCAAGUCAGGAUUCCCAGUGAAGAGGCUGAUUGCUCUUUGUAAAGCAGGAGCAAGGAAGAAGCAGCAGGCCAUUGUAAAGGAAGGGAAUUGCAGUGGAGUUGUGGUACUGACCUUGAGGGCAGUGUGUGCAAUAUUCCAAGAGGAUGGGAUGACAGAAAUUCCUGGUAAAAAUCAGAGUGGCCAGGCAGAGAUGAUAGUAACGGAUGCUGUUGGUCUUGGAAUGACUUGAUGCGAUUCACUUUUUCUGGCAAGAGGAAAGUUUAGAACAAGCACCUCAAACUCUUCAGCUUUAGAAAUGGAGAACAUUUCCAAUGAAGAUAUUAAUCAAUCUUGAAAAAAAGAAACUCUGCAAAUAGCUUAAAUUUUAACAAUGCAUUUUAAGCCUUUUUAGCUAACUGGAUAACUCCGUCGUUCAUCACUAUGAAAUGAACUACAGAAAGAAAUACAGAAACUCACCUUGGCUACUCCGUCUCCUGAGACUACUUCAGUUGUGCUUGUCAUAAAGACAGUAGAUAAGAACAGAGUCUGCUAAGGUCACUGAGUAGUAUUUAAAUAAGUGCAAAACAGCUCUAUUUGAAAUUCAAGGAAGGUGAUAAACCAAUUUAAAAACUGGCAGAGUGGAAAUAGGUACUUUGCUGCUCUGUUUUCAUCCAGCACCGGUUGGAAACUACUGGCAGUCACAUUCUCUAGUACAACUAUGAAGAGGAGAAACUGCAUUAAUGUCAAGCUAUCAAAUUCUGACUUUCCUGACAAGACAGGCAUUUUUUCCAAAUGUCCUGCAUGUGUUUUGAGUGUCAGAGGUAACUUAUGUUGCAUUAAGAAAAUAUAUAUGAAGACAGGAUGUUAUUCCAGGCCUGAGAACUCUGGCAGGGCUGGAAUCAAUUGAAAAUACAGUCCUGACUUCCUCAAUGCACAAGCCAGUGGAAAUCUAAAAUAACCUCUGGGGAGAGAAAAUGGAAGUUUGUGGCUUCGACAACUGAAAGAAAGUACCUGAAGGUCGAUGCCUUGCAAAGCGGAUUCUGGAAGUGGUGCUUUGGAAACAAAGCAGAAAGGUAUAUGAGAGUUAGGUUUACUGGCGUUAGGUUUACUGGUGGUAAGAAGGAUGAGAAACAUUCAGUUUUACCAGUGAGCCAGCUAGCAGGGAGAAAAGGGUGGUUUUAGCAGUACUCAACGGAUGAAACUACAGCACUGAUGAACUUCAGGAUUUGAUGC